CGUCCCUUGCCCCUCCACCUCUCCCGACCAGGCCCUGCUUUCCGAUCCCCCUCCACAAUUCUGCUCUUAAUCCGCCUGCCGGAGACAUCUGAUGAGCUGCCGUGAAACAAAUGGAUUAUGAGAAUGGCGCGAAAAUUACUGUCAUAUCUCGUAAUUCUUAAUUAGGCGCGAAUAGAGGCUGGAGAUCACGGCAGACAUGCUUAAUAAUAUUUGAAAAAAAUUAAUCUUUGGGCCAAUAUCAAAUUAGGCGCGUAUUUAGGGUUCUUUUUGUGCUAAAUUUAGGGGGUUUUCAUAAAAUUACGUGAGAAAUAGUUGUUAAAGAUUAUUCCAUCUUUAGUUUCCUUUUUAUCAGCAUAUUUUCUUAACGCGCUUGUCCCAUUAGAAGGAAAACAGGGAGAGGACCCUGUCGUAAUGAAUUAUAUUUGAAGGUAAAACGGUCAGACGCCUCCAAGAUGUUCCUCAGAGUGGUUGUGCUUUCUUCCUUGUUGGCUUUUGUCGUUGCUCAAGACAUGACCCUCGACAUAUACAGAGCUCCAAAAACAAACAUCUCCUUCCAAACCGCGUUGAAAUCUGUGUUUCAGACGCUACUCAAACUCAUUAAGGCUGCGUUGGAGCCGAAGGAACAAAUCGCAUUUUCUGCCCACGAAUAUGAAAACAGCGAUAUGCCUGCUCUGAUGAAUGAUCUGCAAGGGGUGGAGCAGCUUGCUCCCUUGUUCGCCGCCUUUCCGAUUUUAGCAUUGCUCUUAACGGCAGUGCAAACCAUUGGAAACAUGUUCACUAAAUUAAUCUGGUAAAUU